GUUUCAUUUAUCUGCAUUUGCACCUGCACUCUUCUCUAUAACUAAAGCUUAAUGUUAAGUUGGGAUAGAGAAAGGUGCAGAUGCUAGUGCUGACAAGUGCCAUCUU
rnacentral:sRNA from 1 species